rnacentral:rRNA from 1 species
UACGGUAGGGUGCGAGCGUUGUCCGGAAUUAUUGGGCGUAAAGGCUCGUAGGCGGUUUGUCGCGUCGGGAGUGAAAUCCACUGGCUUAACUGGUGGCUUGCUUUCGAUACGGGCAGACUGGAGGUAUGCAGGGGAGAACGGAAUUCCUGGUGUAGCGGUGAAAUGCGCAGAUAUCAGGAGGAACACCGGUGGCGAAGGCGGUUCUCUGGGCAUGUCCUGACGCUGAGGAGCGAAAGUGUGGGGAGCGAACAGG